UGAACGCUGGCGGCGUGCCUAAUACAUGCAAGUCGAGCGAACGGACGAGAAGCUUGCUUCUCUGAUGUUAGCGGCGGACGGGUGAGUAACACGUGGAUAACCUACCUAUAAGACUGGGAUAACUUCGGGAAACCGUAGCUAAUACCGGAUAAUAUUUUGAACCGCAUGGUUCAAAAGUGAAAGACGGCCUUGCUGUCACUUAUAGAUGGAUCCGCGCUGCAUUAGCUAGUUGGUAAGGUAACGGCUUACCAAGGCAACGAUGCAUAGCCGACCUGAGAGGGUGAUCGGCCACACUGGAACUGAGACACGGUCCAGACUCCUACGGGAGGCAGCAGUAGGGAAUCUUCCGCAAUGGGCGAAAGCCUGACGGAGCAACGCCGCGUGAGUGAUGAAGGUCUUCGGAUCGUAAAACUCUGUUAUUAGGGAAGAACAUAUGUGUAAGUAACUGUGCACAUCUUGACGGUACCUAAUCAGAAAGCCACGGCUAACUACGUG
rnacentral:rRNA from 1 species